CGGCGACCGGCGCACGGGUGAGUAACACGUAUGCGACCUGCCCGUAGCAGGGGGAUAAGCGGAAGAAAUUCCGUCUAAUACCGCGUAAUAUCUUUCGGGGGCAUCCCUGAGGGAUUAAAGGAAGUGAUUCCGGCUACGGAUGGGCAUGCGGCGCAUUAGCUAGUCGGCGGGGUAACGGCCCACCGAGGCGACGAUGCGUAGGGGUUCUGAGAGGAAGGUCCCCCACACUGGUACUGAGACACGGACCAGACUCCUACGGGAGGCAGCAG
rnacentral:rRNA from 1 species